UAGGGAAUAUUGGUAAUCUGCGAAAGCGGGAACCAGCAACGCCGCGUGUGCGAUGAAGGCCUUCGGGUCGUAAAGCACUUUUCGAUGGGAUGAGGAAGGACAGUACCAUCGGAAUAAGUCUCGGCUAACUACGUGCCAGCAGCCGCGGUAAAACGUAGGAGGCGAGCGUUAUCCGGAUUUACUGGGCGUAAAGCGCGUGUAGGCGGUUCUGUAAGUUGGAUGUGAAAGCUCCUGGCUCAACUGGGAGAGGUCGUUCAAUACUACGGGACUUGAGGAUGGUAGAGGGAGGUGGAAUUCCGGGUGUAGUGGUGAAAUGCGUAGAUAUCCGGAGGAACACCAGUGGCGAAAGCGGCCUCCUGGACCAUAUCUGACGCUCAGAUGCGAAAGCUAGGAGAGUAAACGGGAUUAGAAACCCCGGUAGUCCUAGCCGUAAACGAUGUGGACUUGGCGUUGGUGGGGUAAAAUCCAUCAGUGCCGGAGCUAACGCGGUAAGUCCACCGCCUGGGGACUACGGCCGCAAGGUUA
rnacentral:rRNA from 1 species